CUGAGGAUGGAUCAGAAGAAGACUGGAAUGAAAGUGAGGAGGCCAGUGUAGACCUAGACUUGCUCUUCCUGAAGGACAAUGUAAAGACUGACAUAGAUAGAGGAAAAGAAAGGAGAUUGGAAGAGGAGAACAAAUCAAGACAGCUAGAAGUGGAGACACAGAGAGAAAUUAAAACUGUGAGACUGAAAGAAGAGGAGAGCAAGAGGAUAGCCAUGGUGGAAAAACUGAAAGAGGACGAAGGGAGGAAGAGAGGGAUGGAAGCAGAAAUGGAGAGAAAGGAACAGGAGGAGAGGCUGAGAGAAAAGGAAAGGACCAAACUAAGAGAAGAGGAGAGAAAGAAAAAAGAGAUGCAAGAGAAGACAAAGAGAGAGCUGGAGCAGAUAACACAAAGAGAGAGGGAGGAGAAGGGGAAGAAAGCCAAAGUGGCCAAGAAAUUACUUCAGGCACGUGACAGCGAUGACAUUGACAUAGAGAGCUUGAGUGAUGAAGAUAUGUGGAAGGAUAAGGAGCUCCCAAUGGACCAAAAGAAAAGGCAGACAAAAGACGAAAAGGAACAUGCAUGGCUACAGGAAAAACACAACAAAGAGAAGGAGGAUGAGAAUCCUUGUAACAGGGAUUGCAGUGACCCCAAGACUGUGACUAAUUCAAAUAGUUUGUGGAUGCAUAAGGCCAAGAGCCCAAAGCUGUCAGUCAACAAUGCAUGGAAGAUCCAGCAAUUUGAUAAUACAGAGACUGAUAAUGUCAAACAAGGUCAUUCUGAGGAAGGCGACACACUUGUGAUGACACUCAGUAAUGAUGAUAUGAAUACAUGGACCCAGCUAAAGGCAAAAACAGAUGAAGAGGAUGCAGAGAGAGAGAAACAGAGGCAGAUGGAUGAAAAGAGGAUGAGAGAGGUGGACAAUGGAGGAAAGAAAAAAGAGAGAAAAAAGGGGGAGAUGGUAGCACAGAAAGAAAACAAGACACCCAAGAUGAGCAGAGACUUAGAAAUCGUCCAAAAGAUACAGGAGGAAAGAAAGAAAAAAGAGAUGGAGAAAGCAGCACUGAAGGAGCAAAAAGAUGACAAGAGGAGAAAGAUAGAGAUUGAGGAGGAGAAAGCAAGAGAGGAGGAGAAAAAAGUGAGAGAAAGGGAGGAGAUGAGAAAGACUGAAGAGGUGAUGAACAGGAGGGGGGAGGCUCUGUCAGGAGACAGCAAUGACAGCGACGGGGCAACUGACUCCGAUGACUUGUGGAUGGAUGAGUUGGAGAGACGGGAAACAGAAAGAAAGAGAGAGGAGAUUGAGAAAGUGAGAGUGGAGACAGUGCAAAAAAGAGAGGAACAGGAAAGAAGGAUGGAGGAGAUGGAGCGAAAAAGAGAGAAAGCAGAAAUUGAAAUACACAAAAAAAGGGAGAGGGAGAAACAUGAAGACCAGAGGCAAAAAGGAAAGGAGAGACAAGAGGGAAGUGAGAAUUCAGGAAAAGAAGAGAAGGAGAAGAUGGAGAAGAAGGAGGAUGAGAAAGUGAAAGAGCCACAGACGAGAGACGAGAGGAACACAGAUAUGAUGCGGGAAAUAGAGGAGGAGACCUCCCAGCUGUGGAAGUCCAUGGGACUAUCCUUUGAAGACACUGAGGAUGGAUCAGAAGAAGACUGGAAUGAAAGUGAGGAGGCCAGUGUAGACCUAGACUUGCUCUUCCUGAAGGACAAUGUAAAGACUGACAUAGAUAGAGGAAAAGAAAGGAGAUUGGAAGAGGAGAACAAAUCAAGACAGCUAGAAGUGGAGACACAGAGAGAAAUUAAAACUGUGAGACUGAAAGAAGAGGAGAGCAAGAGGAUAGCCAUGGUGGAAAAACUGAAAGAGGACGAAGGGAGGAAGAGAGGGAUGGAAGCAGAAAUGGAGAGAAAGGAACAGGAGGAGAGGCUAAGAGAAAAGGAGAGAAAGAAAAAAGAGAUGCAAGAGAAGACAAGGAGAGAGCUGGAGCAGAUAACACAAAGAGAGAGGGAGGAGAAGGGGAAGAAAGCCAAAGUGGCCAAGAAAUUACUCCAGGCACGUGACAGCGAUGACAUUGAUGUAGAGAGCUUGAGUGAUGAAGAUAUGUGGAAGGAUAAGGAGCUCCCAAUGGACCAAAAGAAAAGGCAGACAAAAGACGAAAAGGAACAUGCAUGGCUACAGGAAAAACACAACAAAGAGAAGGAGGAUGAGAAUCCUUGUAACAGGGAUUGCAGUGACCCCAAGACUGUGACUAAUUCAAAUAGUUUGUGGAUGCAUAAGGCCAAGAGCCCAAAGCUGUCAGUCAACAAUGCAUGGAAGAUCCAGCAAUAUGAUAAUACAGAGACGGAUAAUGUCAAACAAG
ensembl:lncRNA